GACGAACGCUGGCGGCGUGCUUAACACAUGCAAGUCGAACGGAAAGGCCCCUUUGGGGGUACUCGAGUGGCGAACGGGUGAGUAACACGUGAGUAACCUGCCCUUGACUUCGGGAUAACUUCAGGAAACUGGGGCUAAUACCGGAUAGGAAUCCUUGCUGCAUGGUGGGGGUUGGAAAGCUUCGGCGGUUUUGGAUGGACUCGCGGCUUAUCAGCUUGUUGGUGGGGUAGUGGCUUACCAAGGCUUUGACGGGUAGCCGGCCUGAGAGGGAGAACGGCCACAUUAGGACUGAGAUACGGCCAAGACUCCUACGGGAGGCAGCAGUGGGGAAUAUUGCACAAUGGGAGGAAGCCUGAUACAGCAACGCCGCGUGCGGGAUGACGGCCUUCGGGUUGUAAACCGCUUUCAGCAGGGGCGAAGCUUGUGGUGACGGUACCUGCAGAAGAAGCACCGGCUAACUACGUG
rnacentral:rRNA from 1 species